rnacentral:rRNA from 1 species
AUUGAACGCUGGCGGCAGGCCUAACACAUGCAAGUCGAGCGAGCGGCGGACGGGUGAGUAAUGUCUGGGAAACUGCCUGAUGGAGGGGGAUAACUACUGGAAACGGUAGCUAAUACCGCAUACCAUCAGAUGUGCCCAGAUGGGAUUAGCUAGUAGGGGGGGUAAUGGCGCACCUAGGCGACGAUCCCUAGCUGGUCUGAGAGGAUGACCAGCCAGACGGGAACGUAGAAACGGUCCAGACUCCUACGGGAGGCAGCAGUGGGGAAUAUGGCACAAGGGGCGCAAGCCUGAUGCAGCCAUGCCGCGGGUGUGAAGAAGGCCUUCGGGUUGUAAAGCACUUUCAGCGGGGAGGCGUUACCCGCAGAAGAAGCACCGGCGAACUCCGUGCCAGCAGCCGCGGUAAUUC